rnacentral:misc_RNA from 1 species
AAAAGAUUUAGGAAACAAGGAUUGGGGAAUAUUGUGGAGGAAUGAAGAUAAGACAAAAGAGCACUGUUGAGGAUUACCAAGAUAAAUUUGAGGAUUUGAGGGUUAGAAUGGAAAGGGUAAUGCCUACUUUGGGGGAGGAUUAUUUUCUGUCAGGGUUCAUUGAAGGACUUAGGGAUGAAAUUAUGCCUAUGGUGAGAAUGUUUACGGCAACCACCCUUGCUUAGGCGAGAGCAGUUUUCAGGUUAAACCGAUUAACUGAACCGAACCGAACCGAAAU